rnacentral:sRNA from 1 species
GACCAGGCCAAUGCUCCUGUGCUUCCUGGGGCCAGUAGCAGCACCCUGAGCUCCCUGCCACCAGGCAGCUGAAAGGCAUAGCGUGAGGUGCUUCUCUCAGUCCCAAUUAUGACAGUGGCCACCGGAGACCCGGCAGACGAGGCUGCUGCCCUCCCUGGGCACCCACAGGACACCUAUGACCCAGAGGCAGACCACGAGUGCUGUGAGAGGGUGGUGAUCAACAUCUCAGGGCUGCGGUUUGAGACCCAGCUAAAGACCUUAGCCCAGUUUCCAGAGACCCUCUUAGGGGACCCAAAGAAACGAAUGAGGUACUUUGACCCCCUCCGAAAUGAGUACUUUUUCGAUCGGAACCGCCCUAGCUUUGAUGCCAUUUUGUACUACUACCAGUCAGGGGGCCGAUUGAGGCGACCUGUGAAUGUGCCCUUAGAUAUAUUCUCUGAAGAAAUUCGGUUUUAUGAGCUGGGAGAAGAAGCGAUGGAGAUGUUUCGGGAAGAUGAAGGCUACAUCAAGGAGGAAGAGCGUCCUCUGCCUGAAAAUGAGUUUCAGAGACAAGUGUGGCUUCUCUUUGAAUACCCAGAGAGUUCAGGGCCUGCCAGGAUUAUAGCUAUUGUGUCUGUCAUGGUGAUUCUGAUCUCAAUUGUCAGCUUCUGUCUGGAAACAUUGCCCAUCUUCCGGGAUGAGAAUGAAGACAUGCAUGGUAGUGGGGUGACCUUCCACACCUAUUCCAACAGCACCAUCGGGUACCAGCAGUCCACUUCCUUCACAGACCCUUUCUUCAUUGUAGAGACACUCUGCAUCAUCUGGUUCUCCUUUGAAUUCUUGGUGAGGUUCUUUGCCUGUCCCAGCAAAGCCGGCUUCUUCACCAACAUCAUGAACAUCAUUGACAUUGUGGCCAUCAUCCCCUACUUCAUCACCCUGGGGACAGAGUUGGCUGAGAAGCCAGAGGACGCUCAGCAAGGCCAGCAGGCCAUGUCACUGGCCAUCCUCCGUGUCAUCCGGUGGUCAGAAAAGAUCUCCCUGAUAAAGUCACCUUGAACAGAGGUCUGAAGGAUGUGAAGAAGGAGCCAUAAGGAUAUCUGAAAGGAUCUCUAUAUACCAAGAGUUACCACCAAAUCUCUCC